rnacentral:lncRNA from 1 species
CCCUUGCUCCCUGCUGUUUACUCUCGCUCUCCUUCUUCCCUGUCGCAGUUUCUGUCUGCCUUCUCUCCUGCUCCCUUGCUUCGACAGGCUGGGCGAGUGGCAGCGUCUGGGUCCCCCGGGCCACUCGGAGUGUACCCCGCCCCAGGCCGCGCGAUGUGAACCCGUGCCGAACGCGCCAAGACCUCCAUCUCAUCCCUAGAUGGCAGCAGGAUUCUGAAGCUGGCGCAGCCCUCGGCAGCCCUUCUGGUCUGUGUUCCUGAACAGAUUGCCAGGGGAUACGGUGGCUAAACAGCCCGGCGCCUCCCCGGAGUGCAGGUCAAGCAGAAGAGCAAGCUGGACAGAUGCAGCUGGCGGGGCCUCUGGGGUCGGAUGCUGAAGCUUCGGACACCACAUCCUCUCAGCACACAGAUGUGCAGAGUGAAGACAACAGGGAAACCCAAAGCUGACCUACAGUGGUCAGGGAAGAAUCCCAGGAAUGUGCCUUCCCAGUAUACAGCCAUAGUUCCUGACCUACAAAUGAUGUUGAUUUUAUCGGACUCAAACUACUCUGUUGGACCCACAGGAGGUCUGACUUCUAUUCGAGGACCGUUUUGCUAUCACCUGGCUCCUCUGGUCUGGAAUCACCCCAGAGCCUUUCCUCUGUGACCUCCACUCCCUUCAUCUUUUGCUUCCUUAUAUCCUCGGAUUUUCUGACUUGACUUAGUUUCAUGGUUCUAUACCCUAAAGGAAAGAUGCCCUGAGUCCCAGAUUUACCCAGUUGCCUCUGGUGAACACUGGCCUCUCACUUUUAUUCGUAUUUUUGGAAUGCCUGUGUCAAUAUUCUUUCCCCUGAAGAAGUAGAAAUGAGAGGGCAAGGAAGAGGGAAGGCUGAUCGUUUCAAGUGGCAACAGACAGAGAGACAGAAAGAGAAAAGAGAGAGAACAAGAUUGUGAAAGCAUGUGAUGACAGGAGUUACUUUAAUCACAAAAGACAAACUGAAAUGCGUGUGUGUGUUUAUUUUUAUUAAAAAAAUAUAAUUUUAUCCAUAGUAUUAUUGUCUGGAAUUAUGUAGACUUGAAUGUAGACACUUAGAAUCACUCACAUAAAAUUAUAACAUUUUAUUGGAGAGUAAAAAAAUAACCUCUUUUCUUUAAUAAGAGACAUCUCCCAAAACAUGAGUCUACACUUUCAAGAAUGUGGGCAAAGCCCCUUGUAAAAAUCCUCAUGUUCAAAAGAAAUUAAUUAUUGCAGGAAACCAGCAUAAAUAUAGACCUACUGACUUACAGAGCCCAUGGUUCUCAAUGCAGAUCUUUUGAAAUCCUACUUCUGCUUCUCAUCCCUACUCAGAGGCUACUUCCUCCCUAAGGCUUUUCCGACCAUCCUCCAACCUCUGAAGUCCUUGAAUAUGCUGUGCCAUUCUUAAGACCUUGAUCAUGAAUUACUUUGUAUUGUAGCUGCUUUUGUUCAUUAAUAGUUCUCCUUGAGAUAGUUAUAAUUUCUAAAUAGAAUUCACUGGCGCUCCAUAUUUGACUAUAUAAUAGACGUACAAUUAGCUAAAGGAUUUGUUAAAUUUAUUUUUGAAAUGUCGAUUUUUUUAGACACUCAUACUGGGAAAUGGGAUCAGUGCUUCACAUAACUCCUUUAAAAGCUAAUCAUUUUAGUGACAAUGUCAGUCAAUUAACCUUUAUAGCUAUUGAGGCCAUUACUACUGUAUCUUAACAAAAUGAAUGUGAGUGAUCAGAUGUUCUCCUUUAAGAAAAUCUUCCCAACAGAAGUGGCUCAGUUAUUUCAAUAGAAGUAAUAGACAGUGUUCUGGAGUAAGAAACAGAAUUAAGAGCCUAACUACACUAUUACUAUAAAGUAGUAGCCUAUAUAAUUUAUUGAAUUGUUGUGUUUCAAUGAGCAUGACUUUUCAACUGUGUGUAACUGUGAUUAUAACAUUGAUUUGUGUUUUAUUUUAAUUUGAAGCAAUUAUAUAUUAAGAGGUAUUAUACAGGAUGCUGUGAGCAGACUGGUGUGGAUUUUGGCAAAGGCACAUUUGUAAGAUGAGGUUGUGAUUUUAUUAUUGUGCUGUACUCCAAGACCUAAGACUUAAUGGAAAUAACUUUAAUUUAUUAAAAUAAAAUAAAUCUAAUCUAUCUCCCUACUACUUUCCUGAAGUGGUCACAUAUAUAGGAUGGAAUAAGGACCACACAAAAAGGGAAUACCAAUUGAAAAGAAUAAUGAAAGAAAAAUUUGAGAAACUCUCAUUUGGUAAAUUUGUCACUAAAUAUUUACUGGUUGCGUACUUUGACAUUUAUCGUUGUACUUCAUAUCAUGUGUGUUGCUAGGAAGAAAGAGAAAAAGGUUCUACCUUCAAAAAUCUGUAACAUUUUUAUGGUUUUGAUAUAGACAGAGAGUAUUCGAUUACGUUUACAUCAUGCAAGAAAAAGAGGUAGAAGGAAGCUAAUGUUAGUUGAGCACAUACUGUGUGCCAGGAAAAAAAAAGUGACCAUUUAUUUACACACCUGCCAUAAGUUAAUUUUAUACCUGAGGAAACUGCAACUCAAGAGUUAGAAGAAAAGUUGUUCAGAUUCACAAAGCUCAACUUUUCUCCUCCACCAGAUUGUCUCAGUUUAAGGGCUAAAACUCUGCAGAGAGCAAAGUGGGAGAUACCAUGCACACUUAUGGUAGCCAGACCUGAAUAUGAUCCUACAUCAUUGUUUUCUCAAAAAAAAAAAAA